rnacentral:rRNA from 1 species
GAUGAACGCUAGCUACAGGCUUAACACAUGCAAGUCGCGGGGCAGCAUUUUCUUAGCUUGCUAAGGAAGAUGGCGACCGGCGCACGGGUGAGUAACGCGUAUCCAACCUUCCCAUGUCCACGGGAUAGCCCGUCGAAAGGCGGAUUAAUACCGUAUGAGGUCACAUGCGGGCAUCUAAGUGUGACGAAAGGUUUGGCGGACAUGGAUGGGGAUGCGUCCGAUUAGCUAGUUGGCGGGGUAACGGCCCACCAAGGCGACGAUCGGUAGGGGUUCUGAGAGGAAGGUCCCCCACAUUGGAACUGAGACACGGUCCAAACUCCUACGGGAGGCAGCAGUGAGGAAUAUUGGUCAAUGGACGUAAGUCUGAACCAGCCAAGUAGCGUGCAGGACGACGGCCCUAUGGGUUGUAAACUGCUUUUAUGUGGGAAUAAAGUCAGGGACGUGUCCCUGUUUGCAUGUACCACAGGAAUAAGGACCGGCUAAUUCCGUG